GACGAACGCUGGCGGCGUGCUUAACACAUGCCAGUCGAACGGUGAAGCGCUUGCCUUUUUGGUGGGUGUGGAUGAGUGGCGAACGGGUGAGUAACACGUGAGUAACCUGCCCUCUUCUUCUGGAUAACCUCAUGAAAGUGGGGCUAAUACGGGGUAUUCCGGGUCUGUCGCAUGGCGGGUUUGGGAAAGAUUGCGCCUUUGGGUGUUUUCGGUGGGGGAUGGGCUCGCGGCCUAUCAGCUUGUUGGUGGGGUGAUGGCCUACCAAGGCGGUGACGGGUAGCCGGCCUGAGAGGGUGGACGGCCACACUGGGACUGAGACACGGCCCAGACUCCUGCGGGAGGCAGCAGUGGGGAAUAUUGCACAAUGGGCGCAAGCCUGAUGCAGCGACGCCGCGUGAGGGAUGGAGGCCUUCGGGUUGUGAACCUCUUUCGCCAGUGAAGCAGGCCUGCUCCUGUGUGGGUGGGUUGACGGUAGCUGGAGAAGAAGCGCCGGCUAACUACGUG
rnacentral:rRNA from 1 species